GUGCUUAGCUACCUGCUGGCUUAAAACACCACAAAUGGGGACCCAUCGGAUCCCCUUGACAUCACACUGAGGCACCACCCUACUUCAUCACAAUGCCUGGGUGAGUCCUGAACCCUACAAGGCACCUGCAGGAACGUUAUGAGAGAGUGAAGGUCAACUGCCACAUAUUGAUUAAGCCCAUCUGGAUCACCUGACAUGCUGAAAACUGGUGCAGGAAUCCUCACAAGACAGAAUGCUCAUCUGAAAAGCAGACCUGAUUGCUUUUCUUAAAGGAGGAAGUUCUUCUGGAAAAGAGAUUUGUCAUUCCUUGCAAGUAGAGUGUUUCAAAAUUAUGUUACUAAUGUCUAUGGUUUGAGUUGUUCUCUAUGGAAGGGAAAUGAAGGUUGGUAGCAGG